CGUAAGAGUUAUUUUAAGAAGAAUCAUUUACAUCGUUCAUAUAAGAGUUUCUCUGUGCAGCGCCUUUUCAACCGCUUAACUCAGAAGAGAGAAAAUCGAAGGUUUCUGCAGCAACAGCUACAGGGAAGGGAGAGUUUGGGAAAGAGGACGAAAAAGGUAUACACUAUGCAAAUUUUUUUUGCUUCACAAUUUCCACCAUAAAAUGGUCCAAUCACUCAACCAAUAGUGAAACCCUACAAUUUUUCCUCUCAAAAAACGCUCAAUCUCUCUUACAAGCAUGCCUCAAAUCAGCAUUCAAUCCAUUACGAAGAAAACAAAGAGUAAAAUCGCGGAUUGUGACCCGACCGAGUCGAGGCGAUCUAAAUUUUUCAUGAUUUAUCUACACGAAUUAUCGCCAAAGCCUCUGUCCUUUAACUUAAAAAUUACUCGC